CAAAGGAAUUGACGGGACCCGCACAAGCGUGGAUGAUGUGGUUUAAUUCGAUGCAACGCGAAAAACCUUACCCACCUUUGACAUGUACGGAACCCUUUAGAGAUAGAGGGGUGCUCGAAAGAGAGCCGUAACACAGGUGCUGCAUGGCUGUCGUCAGCUCGUGUCGUGAGAUGUUGGGUUAAGUCCCGCAACGAGCGCAACCCUUGUCCUUAGUUGCCACCAUUCAGUUGGGCACUCUAAGGAGACUGCCGGUGUUAAACCGGAGGAAGGUGGGGAUGACGUCAAGUCCUCAUGGCCCUUAUAUCCAGGGCUACACACGUGCUACAAUGGCCGGUACAAAGGGUCGCAAUACCGCGAGGUGGAGCUAAUCCCAAAAAGCCGGUCUCAGUUCGGAUUGCAGGCUGCAAUUCGCCUGCAUGAAGUCGGAAUCGCUAGUAAUCGCAGGUCAGCAUACUGCGGUGAAUACGUUCCCGGGCCUU
rnacentral:rRNA from 1 species